rnacentral:rRNA from 1 species
UACGUAGGGGGCGAGCGUUGUCCGGAUUUAUUGGGUGUAAAGGGCGCGUAGGCGGCUUGGUAAGUCAAACGUGAAAUUUGCAUGCUUAACUUGUAAACUGCGUUUGAAACUGCUUGGCUUGAGUAGAGCAGAGGUAAGCGGAAUUUCUAGUGUAGCGGUGAAAUGCGUAGAUAUUAGAAGGAACACCAGUGGCGAAGGCGGCUUGCUGGGCUCUGACUGACGCUGAGGCGCGAAAGCGUGGGUAGCAAAC